AGGAGAAGGAUGGGGAUGAGUAUGAUUAGCUUGUUGGCGGGGUACCGGCCCACCAAGGUGAGGAUCAGUAGGGGUUGUGAGAGGAAGGUCCCCCACAUUGGAACUGAGACACGGUUCAUACUCGUACGGGAGGCAGCAGUGAGGAAUAUUGGUCAAUGGGCGAGAGCGUGAACCAGCCAAGUAGCGUGCAGGACGUUGGCCUUAUGGGUCGUAAACUGAUUUUAUGCGGGGAUAAAGUGAGUCACGUGUGGCUUAUUGCAGGUACUGUAUGAAUAAGGACCGGCUAAUUCCGUGCCAGCAGCCGCGGUAAUACGGAAGGUCCGGGCGUUUUCCGGAUUUAUUGGGUUUAAAGGGAGCCUAGGCCGUGUGUUAAGUCGUGUUGUGAAAUGUCGGGGCUCAACUCUGGGCAUUGCAGCGCGAAGUGGCAGAUCUUGAGUGUACGGGAAGUAGGCGGAAUUCGUGGUGUAGCGGUGAAAUGUUUAGAUAUGACGAUGAACUCAGAUUGCGAAGGCAGCUUGAUGUAGUGCAUCUGAUGCUGCAGCUUGAAAGCGUGGGCAUCGAACAGGAUUAGAUACCAUGGUAGUUCAUGCGGUAAAGGAUGGAUGCUCGCUGUUUGCGUCUGAUGUAAGCGGCCAAGCGAAAGCGUUUAGCAUCCCACCUGGGGAGUACGCCGGCAACGGUGAAACUCAAAGGAAUUGUACGGGGGCCCGCACAAGCGGAGGAACAUGUGGUUUAAUUCGAUGAUACGCGAGGAACCUUACCCGGGCUUGAACUGCAGCGGUCGGAUACAGAGAUGUUGACUUCGUUCGGGGUUUCUGUGAAGGUGGUGCAUGGUUGUCGUCAGCUUGUGCCGUGAGUUGUGGGCUUAAGUGCCAUAAAGAGCGCAACUCCUCUCUUUAGUUGCCAUCAGGUCAAGUUGGGCAGUCGGAGGACACUGCCACCGUAAGGUGUGAGGAAGGCGGGGACGACGUCAAAUCAGCACGGCCCUUAUGUCCGGGGCUACACACGUGUUACAAUGGCAGGUACAGAGAGAUGGUGUUAGGCAAAGCGCAUUAUAAUCCUUAAAGCCUGUAUCAGUUCGGAGUGGGGUUUGCAACCCGACCCCUCGUAGUUGGAUUAGGUAGUAAUCGCGCAUCAGCCAUGGGGCGGUGAAUAAGUUCCCGGCCCUUGUACACACCGCCCGUCAAG
rnacentral:rRNA from 1 species